UAGGGAAUAUUGCACAAUGGGCGAAAGCCUGAUGCAGCAACGCCGCGUGCGCGAAGAAGGUCUUCGGAUCGUAAAGCGCUUUUUGGGGAGAUGAGGAAGGACAGUAUCCCCAGAAUAAGGCUCGGCUAACUACGUGCCAGCAGCCGCGGUAAAACGUAGGAGCCAAGCGUUAUCCGAAUUCACUGGGCGUAAAGCGCGUGCAGGCGGUCUGGUAAGUUGGAUGUGAAAUCUCCUGGCUCAACUGGGAGAGGCCGUUCAAUACUGUCAGACUAGAGGGCGACAGAGGGAGGUAGAAUUCCCGGUGUAGUGGUGAAAUGCGUAGAUAUCGGGAGGAAUACCAGAGGCGAAGGCGACCUCCUGGGUCGUACCUGACGCUCAGAUGCGAAAGCUAGGGGAGCGAAUGGGAUUAGAAACCCCGGUAGUCCUAGCUGUAAACGAUGUAGACUGGGUGUUGGCGGGGUAAAAGCCGUCAGUGCCGAAGCAAACGCGAUAAGU
rnacentral:rRNA from 1 species